rnacentral:rRNA from 1 species
AGGGUUUGUCAGUAUCUUCAGGCUCCCAGAGAUACUCAUUGGGCUGCUGUUAAACGCAUUCUUCGUUAUGUUCAGUUCACCCUGACAUUUGGUAUGCAUAUUCGGCCGACUUCCUCUCGGGUCCUUUCGGCCUUCUCUGAUGCAGAUUGGGCUGGUAGCCCAGAUGACAGGCGAUCCACGAGGGGUUAUGCAGUCUUCUUUGGCUCUAAUUUGAUCGCCUGGAGUGCUCGGAAACAGGCUACUGUGUCACGUAGCAGUACUGAAGCUGAGUACAAGGCUGUGGCUAAUGCUACUGCAGAGAUUAUUUGGGUGCAGUCUUUGCUUCAGGAGUUGGGUUUGUCUCAACCACAGCCUCCUAUUCUUUGGUGUGAUAACAUCGGUGCUACAUACCUUUCUGCAAAUCCAGUAUUUCAU